rnacentral:rRNA from 1 species
GACGAACGCUGGCGGCGUGCUUAACACAUGCAAGUCGAACGGAAAGGCCCUGCUUGUGUGGGGUUCUGGGUUGGCAAAGGGGUGAGUAACAGGUGAGUAACCGGCCCUUGACUUUGGGAUAGCUUCAGGAAACGGGGGCUAAUACCGUAUAGGAUCUCCUGCUGCAUGGUGGGGGUUGGAAAUUUUCGGCGGUUGGGGAUGGACUCGCGGCUGAUGAGCUUGUUGGUGGGGUAGUGGCUGACCAAGGCUUUGGAGGGUAGCCGGCCUGAGAGGGGGACCGGCGACAUUGGGACUGAGAGACGGACCAGACUCCUACGGGAGGCAGCAGUGGGGAAUAUUGCCCAAUGGGCGGAAGCCUGAUGCAGCAACGCCGCGUGCGGGAUGACGGCCUUCGGGUUGUAAACCGCUUUCGCCUGUGACGAAGCGUGAGUGACGGUAAUGGGUAAAGAAGCACCGGCUAACUACGUG